rnacentral:misc_RNA from 1 species
AAGUCGUAACAAGGUUUCCGUAGGUGAACCUGCGGAAGGAUCAUCAGCAGGGGACUCUGUGCCCGUUAGGGCAGCGAGACCAUAUCACACUUGCACAGCGUGCACCGUAGCAGGUCUGCGCAGUGUUGCCCGGGAGGGCGUUGCCCGAGAGGGCAGCAUCGGCGCUAGUGACCACCAUUCACAGCAUCAGUCUGAAAAGAUCGAAACACCAAUAGACAACUUUCAUCAGUGGAUCUCUGGGCUCUC